UUCGACAGUCUUAGCCUGGUCGGUGUGACGAGUACAACACAAACGCUUUGAGGUACGGAACGCGUGCGUACGUUAUCGUCGGACGUCGGUUAAAAAAGUUUUUGUACUUUGCUUUGCUUGGAGUUUUGAGUGUGCGCGUAUUUAGUGGUCUUGUACGAGUGUGUGUAUGUUUGUGUGUGCAUGUGCGUGAACACGAGUCGAAGACGAGUAUACGAGCCAGCCUAAAAUUGCGGAAUGAGCUUUUGGCAGCACAUUAAAGAAAAGCACUUAAGUCGCCACACUAACGCCCGACAAGGAAGUGUAAAAGCAGAAAUGUCGAAAUAAAUAAAAAAAUACAAAAACAAUGAAAAACACGCAACAAUUGCAACAACAUUAUUAACUGCAAUAAAAUUCAAAAACUACAAAAUUUAUUUGUAUUUGGCAAAAAUUUAAAUUAGAUUACGCAAAAAUCAAACAGCCCGAAUAGCAAAAGGAGCGGCUAUUAAAUAUUGGAUCCGCACAAUAUAUUUUUGGCAAAAUAAAAUAAAAAAUAUAAAAAACACAGAAGUUACAAAAUUCAACGGGCUACGAGUCAAACGAACACAGACUGCAAAUAUGAAGCCAUUCACACAACUUGUCUAUGCGGCACUGCAAAUAAUCACAAUCGCCACUUUGGUCACACAUGGUGCACAAAUACCAACAGCAACGAAAGAAGCCCUGUCAGAAUUGGAUGCCGCCGCUGAAGCGUCCGAUUCCUUCUCCACAUCGAAAUCAAGCAUUGAACCCACAGUGCGAAUAAAGUGUUUGAGCGGUUCCAUGUUGAUAACCAUCAAAGAUGCACCGUUAAAUCAUGAGACUGGCCUAUUUAGUGGCAUGAUUUACCCUAAGGGGCUGUCGAAGAAUUCGACAUGUCUUACCGAGUACAGGGAUCAUGAUGGCCCAUUGAGAUACAAGUUACCGUUACGCAGUUGUAAUACCAUGCCACAAGAAACGGAUGACGGCGGCAUUGAGUUCUUCAAUACCAUUGUCCUGCAACCACAUUUGAAACUCAUCACCGACGCCGGUCGCGGCUAUCAUGUGCGCUGCUCGUAUAAGAGUCGCGAUGCGGCCACUAGCACGCCAAAGAAGAAGCAUGGACAACGCCGCAAAGCGAACAGCGGCAAGCAUGCGCAAAAACCGCAAGCCUUUCGUAGCGCUGAAACGGCAGCUGUGGGGGUGGGUAGCGAUCGUCGCGAUUAUGGUCGCUCGUUGGAUAAGUAUCGUGCCGCAGGCGAUGACUUCGAUCAGGAAGACGUCUACGACGGUGACGACAGCGAUGAUGCUGUGGAUGCUGGCAAUCAAGAGGACGAUAGUCUCAACGAGAUACCGAUGCCCGGUUGCCAUAUGAAAAUCUACAAUUCCGAGCAUAAAAUUGCUGAUGAUGUGAAAAUUGGUGAUCCGCUGACGAUUGUCAUCAGUAUUGACAAACAGGAGCUGUACGGUCUGCAUGUGGCCGAUUGUAUUGUGCGCGACGGUUUAGGUUGGGGUGAGCAGCGGUUGUUGGGCGAUGAUGGUUGCCCGAUGGACAAUGAGAUUAUGGGCCAAUUCAACUACACCAGCGAUCACUUGGCGGCCAAUGUUACCUUCCCGGCACACAAGUUCCCCUACACCACAUCCGUGUACUAUCAGUGCAAUGUGCAUUUGUGCGCCCUGCAGGAUCCCGAGUGCCAAAUGCCUCCUACGUGCAGCGGCAAACGACCGAAACGACAAACUAACAACGAUAACAAAGACGAAGACGGUCAACCGGCCACCAUCGAAGUCUAUUCCGGUCUGUAUGUGAACGAGAAUGUGGAUGUGUCCGAAGGCGAUGAUGAUACAGUGCUCAAGGAGCGGACACUUGAGGAUGCAUUGUGCGUGUCGCAGCGCACCUUCGCCAUUGCCAUAGCAGUCGCCGGUCUCAUAUUGAUGUUGGCCGUCGUUGCCGCCGUACUCUGCAUUAUGGCCCGAAGGAGCACGAAGAGUGUGUCGAAUUCGGGCAGCUCCAUUUACAGUGGUCCCUAUACGAAUACAGCGUUCUCGCAUAGCAGUUAAAUGCAAUACGCAUACAUACAUAUGUAGUUAGAUUGCAAAUGUGAACACGCAAGCACACAUACACACAUUUAAAAUGAGAUUUAGAAAUUUUCGUUUUGAAGUACUUUUAUAGUUUUUUCUUACAAAUUUUUAUUUUUACCUAAAUUGGAAUUUUUUCACUGAUUUUUUUUUUUAGUUUUUGAAUUACUUUAUUGAUAUUUGAAAAUUUGUAGAUUUUGAAAAUUUUUAAUUAAAAAAAAAAUAAGGUUUUGAAGUUUUUUAAUUUUAUUUUUUCAAAAAUAUGUUUUGUAAUUUCUGAAUUUUUUUAUUUAUUUUAAUAUUUAAAAAUUACUAGUUUUGAAAAUUUUUAGUAUUCGAAAAUUUUUUGUUUUUGAAAAUUUUUGAUUUUUGAAAAAAUAAUUUUUGGUUUUAAAACAUUUUCAAUUUUUACAUUUUUAAAAUUUUUCGAAAAUUUUCUUUUGAACAUGCUUUUUUUCUGUUUACACACACACACAGUCUCACACAUGAACACUAAAAGUGUUUUAAAACAAAACGAAAUAUUGACGUAAGAGAAGUUGAAAAUUUCUUUGUACACUGCCGCUGCAAACAAGCGCAGUCUAUAGUAGUCAUUGUGUUUAGUUGUUAAGGUCACAAAUAAUGAUUAGCGACGACGAAUAAGUGAAGCUAAAAAGUAAACAAUAGUUUUUUCUCGUAUAAAUGUGUAAGGCGCAGAGCAAAAGUGUAGCAGCGAAUAAAAAAAGAAAAAAAAUUUCCUAAUUUUUCCGGCUGCACUUUGCUCUGCGCCAACUCAAGCUGCCCAUAAAUAUGCAAUUAAUUAAUUAAUGUAUUAAUUAAAAUAAUGAAUGUAUAACUUUAAGUUUAUAGUAAGCCACGGCACACGCUUCCUAGCAGAGCAAGUCUUUACAUUUAUUAUAAAAUAUUGUAUACCCAAUACCAUAUACACUCACGCACACACAAGCACACUUCAAUACAGUCAGUAUAUGUAUGUAGACAGCGCAGAUAUUACUGGGCAAUCAAAAUUAAAUGGUAAAGUUAGAUGAAAACAAAAAAAAAGACAAAAAAAGAAACAAAAAUGUUUUAAAAAAGCAAAAUAUGUAAGCUUAGAAUGAUUGCCCUUUAAUAUCGCAAAGGUAUAACACCUAAAAGCAUGCAACGCAUGCGCGCAGGCGCCUUUGUUCAGCUGCUACACGUAGAAGUACUCAUAGAAAACUUGAAUUUUUUUGGUGGUGGUCAAUUUGUUACACUUAAUCUUAACGCUUGGUUGGCGCGCCGCAGCAAAACGGACAAAUAUUACAACAAAAACGUGCUUUCGUUUUUUGUGUAAUUUGUAUGUACAACGAAUGCGCACAACCUGCUCAGGUGAUACUAUUAACUAUUAAUUCUAAUAUAACGUAUGAAUAUUUAAAUUAUUAACCUAUUCUCCUCUACAUUGAAAUUGUUUUUGUACAAUUCGAAAAAAUACAGAAGUUUCAAGAUUUGGAAGAAGAAAAAAAUUAAAAAAAUAACAUUUUUUAAACCUAAAAAUAUUAACUUUUCGUAUUGGUUUUUAUCACGAAGCCACAAAUUUAAGAUUUGAAUUAAAAAAAAACAACAAAAACUGUGAAGAAAUGAGAAGAAUAAUGUGUAUACUACGUACUAUCUUGUCAUUACAACUUAAAUCUUAAUAUUUUAACUUUAAUAUUUUUUUUACUAUUUAACUAAACUGUCAAAUCAGAUUAAAAUCGAACUAAUUUAUUUGUUAAUUCAAAUUAUGUAGUAUGGGAGGAAGAAGAAGACGAUGUAACCUAAAAAAGUAUGCGUUUAAAAUUUAUAAAAUGUAAAGUGUGUCGUUAUGGCGUGAAAAUGAAAUAAAAAUGUACUUAUAAAAUUUAUGAAAAUAAUAAAGGCCCUUAGAUUGAAACGUCCAGAAAA